AAUCAUUUUGUAAUUUGCAGAGGAUGUUUAUGGUGCGGUGCCUACCGAGUUCCCUGGAACGGGACGCCACAGAGGGUGAGAGCCCCGUCUGGUAGGACACUAAACCUGUGUUAAACUCCUUCAACGAGUCGAGUAGUUUGGGAAUGCUGCUCUAAAUGGGAGGUAAAUCUCUUCUAAAGCUAAAUACUGGCCAGAGACCGAUAGCGCACAAGUAGAGUGAUCGAAAGAUGAAAAGCACCUUGAAAAGGGGGUUAAACAGUACGUGAAAUUGUUGAAAGGGAAGCGUUUAUGACCAGACUUGUGUCGUGUGGCUCAUCCGAGGUUCUCCCCGGUGCACUCCACGCGGCUCAGGCCAACAUCGGUUGUCGUUGGGGGAUAAGAACAGUAGGAACGUGGCUCCCCUCGGGGAGUGUUAUAGCCUAUUGUACGAUACCCUGAUGGCGACCGAGGACCGCGCUUCGGCUAGGAUGUUGGCGUAAUGGUCAUUAGCGACCCGUCUUGAAACACGGACCAAGGAGUCGUCCAUUAGAGCGAGCGUUUGGGUGUAAAACCCGCACGCGUAAUGAAAGUGAAAUUAGGUGAGAGCUUCGGCGCAUCAUCGACCGAUCCUGAAGUUUACGGAUGGAUUUGAGUAAGAGUUUUAACGGACGGACCCGAAAGACAGUGAACUAUGCUUGAAUAGGGUGAAGCCAGAGGAAACUCUGGUGGAGGCUCGCAGCGGUUCUGACGUGCAAAUCGAUCGUCAAAUUUGAGCAUGGGGGCGAAAGACUAAUCGAACUGUUAGCUACUAGGCAGUUAAGAGUCUCCCAGUAAUGGGAGGCUAGUAGGCUCUUUUUCAGAGUUUGCGACACCAUCAAAUUGCGGGGACACCCUGUUAUAACGCUAUGAUACCGCGCCUCGUGGAAACACAGAGAGUAGCACUAGGUGUAACGGCCUAGGUAUGGUAAAAAGUCAUUAGCUAGGGGCAAUCCGCAGCCAAGCCCUACGUCUUCGGAUAUGGGUGCAGUUCACAGACUAAACGUUGGUGGGCUUAGAAUCUGUAUUCUAGGCUUAAGAUAUAGUCGAAUCCGCCUAGUAAUAGGUGGGUAUCAAAUGAAUA
rnacentral:ncRNA from 1 species